UUUGAAAAUCAACUAAAUCCCUAUCAGGGAUUGAAAC
rfam:Pleurocapsa sp. PCC 7327, complete genome.